rnacentral:ncRNA from 1 species
CACCAGUUUCGGGAAUCUAAAGUCCUUACCACACCACCUCUGCUACCUUAUUAGAGUUACCACAGAGAUAAAUGACUUGCAACGGCAAAGUGUUCAUGGCAAUGUCGCGUUUCGAUCUUUCGAUGUCGGCUCUUUCUAGCACUGUCAAGCAGAAUCCACCAACUGUUGGAUAAUUUACCCACUAUGAGGCAACGUGAGUCGGAUCGGGAUCUUUGCGAGACAGGUUUGUUUUGCCCUAGUGACUGUCAAACUGUGUAACAGGGAAUCACAAUCUGGUAGUCAUAAGGGUACAAGCAGCCAACUGUGCAAAGCUACCACUUGAGGGGGUAAUACUGAACUCCUCUAAGUCUGAAUACCAUCCAGGGAUACGCAACGAUACAGUUUGAUAUGGCACGUGGUUGGGCAGAUGUAGUACCUUCUGGUCAGGUAUCAUUCGGAUGGGGCCAGCGUGCCACAUAGAACUUGGUCGAUCUGGUAGUGCUAAGUCAAAUCGGUGACCAUAACCACAUACACUAGGUUAUGGUGUUGUACAAAUCGACACGAUAUCCAAUUGUGAUAUUAACGUGAGAACACUAAACCAUUUGUGGACGGGGCUAUGUGAGUAUUCGAGCGGCUGUCGCACUGUGAGAGAAUGAGUCCUUUUUCCUACCCCAC